GUUUGACCCAGAGAUAGCACAUCUCCUGGCUGGGAUUCAGUCUACAAAGUGAGGAAGUUACACCAAAAGGAACUCUAAGGUCCUGCCCAGCUUGAUAGUGGACACAGCAGCUGCACAGAGGUGGAACAAAUGCAGGCUUACAGGCUGGAGACACAUUUUUGAGGCUGAAUGAAUGAAAAGUACAUGAGUGCUUAUGCUAGCCGAGGACAGCUAGCUGCCCUUGUCCAGCUGGGAGGAAGAUAGGAAGAUUCCUGUCUGUGGUUUGGUGGUCUGUGUUUUCUACCACGUGCUUACAUGUCAACAAAGGGAAACAUGCUGCUGGGUUUUCAGAAAAAUCACAAGGUGUCUGGCUAGAGAAUGAAGCCAGGCAUACAUCUGGUCACCAGCCUGAUGGCUUCUUCCUUCGGGGAGAGGUUGCUCAGGAUCACAGCAGUAUUGGGCUCAGAAGAAAGAAAGGCUCAGUGAAGUCAAGGGACCUAUUCAGAACUACUGGAAACCCAGACUUUCUGCCUUUUCACCCGGAACUCUUUCCAUCAUUCCACAGCUGCCUUCUCCUAAGUGUCCUCAUGAGCUUGUAUCAUCAUCUGUAAGGAUGGGUCUGGACCUCAAAAGGUGGAUUCUGGACCUCAAAAAGAUUAAAAGACAUGGACCACAGCCAGGCUCAGUGGCUCAUGCCUGUAAUCCUAGCACUUUGGGAGACCGAGACAGGCGGAUUGCCUGAGCUCAGGAGUUCAAGACCAGCCUGGGCAACAUGGUGAAACCCCGUCUCUACUAAAAUACAAAAAAAUCAGCCGGGCAUGGUGGCAGGCACCUGUAAUCCCAGCUACUCAAGCAGCUGAGGCACAAGAAUUGCUUGAACCCAGCAAGCAGAGGUUGCAGUGAGCCGAGAUUGUGCCACUGCACUCCAGCCUAGGCAACAAAGCAAAACUCUGUCUCAAAAAAAAAAAAAAAAAGAUACGGUCCAUGGUUCCCAGGUAUGAGAUGAGAGAAGAGCACAGGUCUCCAUCUCCCCCUCAGUUCACAGCACUUUUCUCCCAGGAUGUCUUUUUGGCAUCUCCUACGCUAGGUGUAAGGUCCUGCUGUGAUCUCCAUAGCACUCUGCUCUUCUCUGAGCAGAGCAUAUCUCACUCCAUGUUGUAAUUGCUUAUUGGUUGUUCAUUUCCCUUAACUCACCAGAAGCUUCUGCAGGACAAGGACAACUUUUCCUUUGUUCACCAUUGAUUUUCCAGUGUUUGGCAUAUAGUAGGUGUUUAACAAAGAUUUGCUGUAUUAUUGAUUGAAAGAAAGAAUAGAAAGAUGGAUGGAGGGAUGGAUGGAUGGAUGAUGAUUUAUCAGCUCUUCAGUUACUAUGUCUCCACGUAAUUGGGUAACUUAUCCUUCCAUUCCUGACAAGUUAACUUACCCAACUUCCCUAGUUUGUCAGCAGUACUAUUCAAAAGACAGUGAGGUGUAAAAGCUUUGAAUCUCCUGACUUUAUAUCCUGCUUCAAUCAUUUACUAACCAUGGGAUGAUAUGCAAUUUAUUUAAUCUUGCUAAACCUUAACCUUAGUUUCUUCAUUGUGGUAUGAUAUUGUGAUACCUGUUAAUCAUGCUUAUAAUCUCUGGAAUAUACCAGGAGGUAGAUAAAUGGUCGGUAUCAAUCUUGGCAUAUGUAACAAUGUAUUCAGUCAUUUAUACUCAGAUUCGGUGCCUCUUUUCUCUUCCACUCUUUUCACCCACAUUGAUUGUUAUGUACUUAACCCUGUCAAAUCUUUCUUCCCAAUGUCUUCUACACUGUUUCACUACCCUCAUCUUAUCUGCCUAUUUAAUACAAUAGGUCCUAAACAGUCCCUGUCCUUCAGGUUUCUUCUCCAGUGCGUCAUACACUCCCGUUGAUAGCUCUAGAAUUCCUGUAAAGGAGAGGUUUAGGGUGGUACUCUUUGGCUCCCCAGAAAUUGGGAAGGACAAGGGAAGUGUCUUGAAUCUGCAUAUGUAUAUCACUCUACAAAAUAUUGAGACAAAGGUAGCUUGACAGAUAUGAAAGGGUCGCAAAAGUUCUCCACCCUGGCCAACUGUUGUAGUCACCUCUGGGCAGAAGCUGCCAAUUUCCACUUCCUAAAAUAAGGCUCUCAUCAAGGUGAUUUUUCUUAAAUUUGUUUCAAAGAGCCUGGAAGAACACUGCAGAACGAGUUCUAGAAUCCUUUUCCUCACAUUUGGAACUUGUCACAGUUUUGCCCCCCAGGGCAUUUUGCUUCAACAACAAUUUUUAUUUCAAGCAUUUCAUUUCAUUCAAGGCCCCUCAAUAUGCCAAAGCUAUUCCUAACUCCAUGUCUUUGUCCAGGAAUGCCCCCACUCAUGGCUCUCCCCAGCUCAUCUCUUCUAAUGACAUUCUGUUCAUCCCCCAAGGGCUGGUUCCAUCAUUGCUCUCCUCCGCAAUUACCCCAGCCUAAGGUGCUCUUUCCUUUCUUGGAAUUCCCACUGUUUUUUAUUGUCAGGAUAAUUUACUGUGGCAUUUAACUAUCUAACUUUCUUGUAUUGUUGUUGAAACAUUUCCCAUGUUGGUGUUUUUUCUCCCUCUGAACUGAGAGGUCCGUCCAUUCAGGGUAAGGACUAUCUCGUAAUCUUGGGAUCCUCCGAGGCACCCAGCCCAGAGUGGGGCCCAGCACUGGUAGGGAUGGGAUGUGAGUUACAAACCAUCGCAGAAGCACUCUCUCUCUGCUCUUCCUGCCCAGAGACCCAUGCCAAUAGAAAAGAGGUUUCAGAUUUAGAGACAGACACCUUCAGGGACCCAAAGAUCCUCUUCCAAAAAAUAUGUGCCAUAUUGGCUACAAGACUUGGGGCUGGGAAAAUUGAGUGCUUGUGACCCAAUCUCAGUCUAAUCAUUUCCUGUGCUGGUGACUAAUGACCUAGAGCCAAAGGCGCCUGUUACCUUCGGCUUGAGCAACUGGGUUUAAACACAUAUCUGCCUACACCCACACACAUCUGUCUUCAUGCGCACACCAGCCCUCAAGCAAUAAACAGCACUGGCAUUACUAAGUUCUUGAGAAAGGCCACCAGCAGCGGUGGGGUGGAGGUGAGGCUUUAAAACUUGUGCAAAAACCCCACCUCUAGAGAGAAAUAAAAAGGGGGAAUCUGGGUGAAGAAUUUUUGUACUAUUUUCAACUUUUUUGUAAGCCCAAAAUGUCAAUUUUUUUUUUAAUUAUAAAGCAGAAACAACAAAAGAGUUACCUUCUGUAUGUAGUUUUUCUGCCACCUUCUCCAGCCUUUAAGAAUUACUGUUUUUGGCUGGGGAUGGUGGCUCAUGCCCGUAAUCCCAGCAUUUUGGGAGUUCGAGUCAGGUGAACUGCUUGAGCCCAGGAGUUUGAGACCAGCCUGGGCAAUACAGCGAAACCCAAUCUCUACCAAAAAUACAAAUAUUAGCCGGGCAUGAUGGUGUGAGCCUGUAGUCUCAGCUACUUGGAAGGAUGAGGUGGGAGGAUCACUUGCACCCAGGAGGCAGAGGUUGCAGUGAACCUGGGUGACAGAGUGAGGCUCUGUCUCAAAAAAAAAAAAAGAAAAGAAAAAAGACGGUUU
rnacentral:lncRNA from 1 species